CGAUGACAUAGCAGAUGAAUGUCAUGUUGUUUGGCUGUUGACCAGGUAUUAGUUUUGUCAAAUUAAUAAAUAGUACAACUUUAUUGUUGUGGU
rnacentral:tRNA from 1 species